AACGCUAGCUACAGGCUUAACACAUGCAAGUCGAGGGGAAACGAUAUUGGAAGCUUGCCUCCGAUAGGCGUCGACCGGCGCACGGGUGAGUAACGCGUAUCCAACCUGCCCAUCACUUGGGAAUAACCUUGCGAAAGUAAGACUAAUGCCCAAUGAUAUCCCACGAAGGCAUCCGAAUGGGAUUAAAGAUUUAUCGGUGGUGGAUGGGGAUGCGUCUGAUUAGUUUGUUGGCGGGGUAACGGCCCACCAAGGCAACGAUCAGUAGGGGUUCUAAGAGGAAGGUCCCCCACAUUGGAACUGAGACACGGUCCAAACUCCUACGGGAGGCAGCAGUGAGGAAUAUUGGUCAAUGGGCGAGAGCCUGAACCAGCCAAGUAGCGUGCAGGAUGACGGCCCUAUGGGUUGUAAACUGCUUUUAUAAGGGAAUAAAGUGGGUCACGUGUGACUUUUUGCAUGUACCUUAUGAAUAAGGACCGGCUAAUUCCGUGCCAGCAGCCGCGGUAAUACGGAAGGUCCGGGCGUUAUCCGGAUUUAUUGGGUUUAAAGGGAGCGUAGGCCGGAGAUUAAGCGUGUUGUGAAAUGUAGAGGCUCAACCUCUGCACUGCAGCGCGAACUGGUCUUCUUGAGUACGCACAACGUGGGCGGAAUUCGUGGUGUAGCGGUGAAAUGCUUAGAUAUCACGAAGAACUCCGAUUG
rnacentral:rRNA from 1 species